rnacentral:lncRNA from 1 species
UUAGAGGUUGGACUCGAUGAUCUUGAGGUCUCUUCCAACCUAGAAAUUCUGUGAUUCUGUGAUUCUGUGAAAGUGGAAGACGGUGAGCUGGAAGGGAAGAGAGAAGACAGAGGACUGUGGAAGUUGCUCCAGCUAUCUGGGAUACUGGGAGAUAGUGGCAUUACUUUGGAGAACACUGUUCCACACCUGAUAAGGACAGAAAGUGUCUGCAAAAUUUAUUCUAUAUUCCAGGGAAUAUGAACAUAUUGAACUGGGCACUGAUAAUGGUGAUUGAUGUCAACGUGUACCAUUUUAUUACCCUCUUUGGCCAUCUGAAGAGCUAGAAGUUGCUACAGAGCUUGCUUUUGAAAAUUGAGCCACUUUUGGAGAGAUGUUCAUGCAUUCCCAGUGUCUAAUGCCAAAGACACAUUGCUCCUCUUCAUGUUACUGUGCGGUGCAUACCUCAGAGAAGUCUGAAUUAAGCCCUUUUGCUAAUUGUUAAUUGUUAGUUGCUAAUUCAUCAACGAAACUUAAUUUCUGAACAAGUCAAAAGGGAAUCCUUGGGGCAGGCACUCAUUACUGCAGAAACGUUCAGAGGAAAUGUUAACAGAGAAGAACAGAGUUGUUCAAUUAACUCAGAAUAACAGCUGCACCAGGAGAAUUUCAUAAAUUUUCAUCGAACAUACAAACAUUUCAGGUUUAAAGUCAGUGAAGAGAUUUAGCCCUCUCACUGAUACCAACAGCUGGAAAUUCUCAGAUUUUUAACAUAUUGCUGAGAAAUGAUAAGUCAGGAGGGAACUCAGGAGGAAUUAACUGUUGUUUCUUAAACUAAAACCACAGGAAAAAUACAGGCAGCAAUAAGCAAUCUAGAACAAUAGCUGCUUCCUCUGCCGUGUGCUGUGUGGAACCCCUGCCCAUGGCAACCUGAUCUGCUCUUCCUGAAUGCCUAAGUGUCUGAGAAGGGCUGCAGAACUGAGGAUGUCUUUCAAAGGAUUUUUGUUAGCAAGCACAUGUUUAUGUGUCCACCUAAUCCCACCCAAAGUGAACUGCACUUCAGAGAUCCUGGUUACAGAGGCUAAUGCAUGAAUCUUGUAAGCUCCAGACAAAUCUUGCUUCACACUAGUGCUAACAGGAUGGGAAGUCUUCUUCAAAGGAUCAGGCCUGAAUAUUUUCAAAUUUUUCCUAUAUUUUGCUUGUUUCUUUGAUU